rnacentral:rRNA from 1 species
CCAAUAGCGUAUAUUAAAGUUGUUGCAGUUAAAAAGCUCGUAGUUGAACUUCAGGCCUGGCUGGACGGUCCGCCUUCCGGGUGAGUACUGUCUGUGGUCGGGUCCUACCUUCUGGCGAAGCGUCAUGGCCUUAACCGGCCGUGGCGGGGAACCAGGACUUUUACUGUGAAAAAAUUAGAGUGUUCAAAGCAGGCAAUUCGCUUGGAUACAUUAGCAUGGAAUAAUGGAAUAGGACAAUUGUUCUAUUUGUUGGUUUCUAGGACUGUUGUAAUGAUUAAUAGGGAUAGUUGGGGGCAUUAGUACUCAAUUGUCAGAGGUGAAAUUCUUGGAUUUAUUGAAGACUAACUACUGCGAAAGCAUUUGCCAAGGAUGUUUUCAUUAAUCAAGAACGAAAGUUAGGGGAUCGAAGACGAUCAGAUACCGUCGUAGUCUUAACCAUAAACUAUGCCGACUAGGAAUCGGGCGAUGUUGACAAAAUGACGCGCUCGGCACCUCAUG